rnacentral:lncRNA from 10 species
GACACCAUAGGCUCCCACCGAGCCAUUCUGACUUUCGAAACUUGUAUGCUGUGAAUAUUUGCUAGACGGCCAGCUGGGUUAGGGGGUUAGGAUACUGCUGAAGCCUUGGAACAAGUUUCUCUUUCUGUGAAAGAGCACCAUGCUCUAAACAAGUCCAAUCAUACUGUUUUAACCACCUGAAGAAAAGAAAUCAAAAUUUUAGAAAGCAGCCUAAAAGUCACAUAAUGGGAAAUAAAGACAUAAACAUUAUUCCUUUUUUAUGCAGAACAAAGAGUUUAUUAUAAAUGUUCUUCAUGAAAAAAAAAACCCUUAGCAAACUGGGCUAGAAAGGAUUUAUUUUUUAUAGAUUUAAAGGGUACAUUUUUGUUACAUGUAUAUAUUGCACAGUGGUGGAGUCUGGGCUUUUAGUGUGACUGUCACCUGAGUAGUAUACGAUGUACCCAACAGGUAAUUUCUCAUCCCUCACUGCCCUCCCACUUUGUGGAGUCUCCAGUGUCUAUUAUUCCACUCUGUAUGUCCAUGAAUAUGAUUAUUUUUUAUUAGCACUUUGCAACACCCUAAAAAUACCUCAGAACUUUAUGAAAUAAUUAGAAUUGUGCAGCCACAUUCCUUUUUAUGCAUCACUCAUCUAAAAAAAUAAGCUUCUCUGAGCUCUUCUGGGAAUAAGAAAGGGAAAUGCUGCUAGCCUAAAGAAGACAGAAGAAAUUAUGAUACAGUUUCACAAGGGGAAAGUGUCAGCAAUUUAAAUGAAGGUCAAAGAUUUAAGGCAAGCGGUUUAGAUAAGGCCUAGCACAGAGAACAAUUCAGAACAGCCAGUCCCUAAAUGGAUAACAAAGUCCAAAGCAAAGCCUCCCAAGAUUUUCCACAGUCACUUGGAAGCCCUGUGAAUGAUAACAUUCCUCUACUCCCCUUAUUAUGAUUGUUCUUUGAUUAAAAUGUUUUCAAAGGUCAAAGGAAAGAGCAGUCUAAAAGCCUGCUCUUUCCCUAACUAGUCCCUUCUCGGGACUUAGUUUUCUUAUCUGGAAAAUGUAAAAGUUAGACCAGAUGGACUUUCUCUGGUUCUUCCCAGAUUUAGAAUUUCAUGAUUCUAAAUAUUCUUGCUUGUGAAUUUUGUGAGGAACUUGUGCGGAAUUCCCUAGUAACCAGGAGACUCUUAGAGAUGUGGAUGUAUAUACAUCUGAGGUCACAGUGGACUUGUCUCAAGAGUUACAACUUUUUAGAAGUGUUAAAAAUCUGCCUGGCAUGGCAGCUCACGCCUGUAAUCACAGCCCUUUGGGAGGCCAAGACGGGUGGAUCACUUGAGGCUAGGAGUUCGAGACCAGCCUGACCAACGUGGUGAAACUCCAUCUCUACAAAAAAUACAAAAAUUAGCUAGGUGUGGUGGCACACGCCUG